rnacentral:rRNA from 2 species
GUGCCAGCAGCCGCGGUAAUACGUAGGUGGCAAGCGUUGUCCGGAAUUAUUGGGCGUAAAGGGCUCGCAGGCGGUUUCUUAAGUCUGAUGUGAAAGCCCCCGGCUCAACCGGGGAGGGUCAUUGGAAACUGGGGAACUUGAGUGCAGAAGAGGAGAGUGGAAUUCCACGUGUAGCGGUGAAAUGCGUAGAGAUGUGGAGGAACACCAGUGGCGAAGGCGACUCUCUGGUCUGUAACUGACGCUGAGGAGCGAAAGCGUGGGGAGCGAACAGGAUUAGAUACCCUGGUAGUCCACGCCGUAAACGAUGAGUGCUAAGUGUUAGGGGGUUUCCGCCCCUUAGUGCUGCAGCUAACGCAUUAAGCACUCCGCCUGGGGAGUACGGUCGCAAGACUGAAACUCAAAGGAAUUGACGGGGGCCCGCACAAGCGGUGGAGCAUGUGGUUUAAUUCGAAGCAACGCGAAGAACCUUACCAGGUCUUGACAUCCUCUGACAAUCCUAGAGAUAGGACGUCCCCUUCGGGGGCAGAGUGACAGGUGGUGCAUGGUUGUCGUCAGCUCGUGUCGUGAGAUGUUGGGUUAAGUCCCGCAACGAGCGCAACCCU